ACUACUCAGAGGCUUUUCCAGGGGUCUCCUAAGAAUGAGAGCCAUAGAGCAGCACACAUCUACUGCACACUACUAACAUCUGAGAUGCUGUGAGUCUAGGACUCUAGGUGAGGGUUUGUGAGUGGGCAUGGAAGAUGCUGCAGUGGACGCAGCUGUUUGAGAUAGACAUCCUUCUGUCCCCAACUAAUCAGCCCCCCACUUCUGCAGCUCCACAAGCAGCAGACCCAGGCUGAGCCCGAGCGGCAUGUGUGGCACCGCCGGGAGAGUGAUGAGAGUGGAGAGAGUGCCCCUGAAGAGGGGGGAGAGGGUGCCCGGGCCCCCCAACCCAUCCCACGCUCUGCCAGCUAUCCCUGUGCUACUCCCCGGCCUGGAGCACCUGAGACCACCGCCCUGCAUGGGGGCUUCCAGAGGCGCUACGGGGGCAUCACAGAUCCUGGCACAGUGCCCCGUGCUCCCUCUCACUUCUCCAGGCUGCCCUUGGGAGGAUGGGCAGAAGAUGGGCAGCCAGCAUCAAGACACCCAGAGCCGGUGCCAGAGGAGGGCUCAGAGGAUGAACUGCCCCCUCAAGUGCACAAGGUAUAGACAAGGCAGAAGCUGGUUCCCCUGCUCCGGGAUGGAGGCAACAGCUGUCCUGCCAUCUCUUCUGCCUGCCAUGAGAGGGAUUCUCUGAGUGCCGUCUGGCCCCACGUGUGUGGUGUUUUGUGUGUUCCUGCCUGGCCAAGGGAGGUGCCAACGUUGGGCUUGCCAUAGCCCAAGAAUUUGAGGCCUAGGGACUAGGGGCAUACACGAGUCUAGCCUCGACCCCAGGACUCCCUUGGCUCAGAGUGGUGCUAGAAACUGGUCCCCAGCCCAGUCCCAGUACUGCCAUCUUUGCAUCCACCCCACAGAAGCUGCCAAGCAGAAGAACCUGUGCCAACUGUGGAGUGGGAAGGCAGGGCCUGAACCCUCAAUCCCUGCAACCUAGCCCCCCAUCUGGAAUAGCUGAGCAGCUCAGGCUGCAGCCCUUACCUCCAGUCCUCACCCAGUGCUGCAGCCAUCUGGCCACCCCGACCCCCGCACAUCACUGGCAUGUGUGCGCUGCCUGCUCCCCUCAGUUCACUUGCCCCCCUUCUGUUUGGCUUUUGCUUUUUGUUGGGGUGAGAGCCCUAGCUCCCAGCUCCCCUCACACUACCUUUUGACACUAAGACGGAAGGUUUCUAAGUUGCAGGAACAGGAUGAAAAUUCUUUACUACCCUCUUCAACUUUUAGGAUGGGCACUUGGGAGUGUGAGGCCUUCCUAGCUGCUUAUA
rnacentral:lncRNA from 1 species